rnacentral:rRNA from 1 species
AUUAAGCAUAUCAAUAAGCGGAGGAAAAGAAACCAACAGGGAUUACCUUAGUAACGGCGAGUGAAGCGGUAAAAGCUCAAAUUUGAAAUCUAGCACUUUCAGUGUUCGAGUUGUAAUUUGAAGAAGGUAUCUUUGGAGUUGGCCCCCGUCUAUGUUCCUUGGAACAGGACGUCACAGAGGGUGAGAAUCCCGUGCGAUGGGGAGACCAAUUCUAUGUAAAGUUCCUUCGAAGAGUCGAGUUGUUUGGGAAUGCAGCUCUAAGUGGGUGGUAAAUUCCAUCUAAAGCUAAAUAUUGGCGAGAGACCGAUAGCGAACAAGUACAGUGAUGGAAAGAUGAAAAGAACUUUGAAAAGAGAGUGAAAAAGUACGUGAAAUUGUUGAAAGGGAAGGGCUUUUGAUCAGACUUGGUGUUUAGUACUCUCUACUCCUUGUGGGUGGGGCUCUUGCUUUAUACUGGGCCAGCAUCGGUUUGGAUGGCAGGAUAAUAGCAUUGGAAUGUGGCUUCAUUCGUGAAGUGUUAUAGCCUUUGUUGAUACUGCCUAUCUAGACCGAGGACUGCGUCUUUUGACUAGGAUGCUGGCGUAAUGAUUAAAAGCCGCCCGUCUG